GGAUGUGAGGGUAACCUGGAUGAGAUGACUGUCACCCCGUUGACCACCUGUUUGAUUUGAAUGAUAUGGCUAGCUGGGCAAGUGUCCGUUUUUCCUUCAAUGUCCAUGUGAGUCUCUCCAGAAGCUGUGCCUCAGGUAGAAGAGGCCUUCUCAUAUAGAGAAGUCUUUGGUCAAGGGUUUACCAGUAGCUGUUUUCCCAUAAUACAAUUCCAGACAAAGCAUGAGAACCCUCUUUUUGCCUCUGAACUCUCUAUCCAGUCUCUCUACUCUCAUCAUCAUUCAGUGCAUGGGGCAUGACAGCA
rnacentral:snRNA from 1 species